GUAAAAGCAAUGAAGGGAAGAGUAAUUAUAAUACAGAGUUAAAGCGAGCUGGUUAUGGUGUGAGUCCAGUACAAAGUAUAUAAUGAAGAACCUCCCAGAGCUACUAACCGAAAUCUAAUAGAGAGUAGACUUAGUCGGAACCAAGCCGUUACCUACUUGGCGAUAUAUUAUUUAGUAUAUUGAAUGAGUUGAACUUUUAUUAAAGUUAAAUUAGGUGGUACCGCGGAAGUCUAGCCUUUCGUCCUAUUU
rfam:Terrisporobacter sp. 08-306576 Contig078, whole genome shotgun sequence.